rnacentral:rRNA from 1 species
UAGGGAAUCUUCGGCAAUGGACGGAAGUCUGACCGAGCAACGCCGCGUGAGUGAAGAAGGUUUUCGGAUCGUAAAGCUCUGUUGUAAGAGAAGAACGAGUGUGAGAGUGGAAAGUUCACACUGUGACGGUAUCUUACCAGAAAGGGACGGCUAACUACGUGCCAGCAGCCGCGGUAAUACGUAGGUCCCGAGCGUUGUCCGGAUUUAUUGGGCGUAAAGCGAGCGCAGGCAGUUAGAUAAGUCUGAAGUUAAAGGCUGUGGCUUAACCAUAGUACGCUUUGGAAACUGUUUAACUUGAGUGCAAGAGGGGAGAGUGGAAUUCCAUGUGUAGCGGUGAAAUGCGUAGAUAUAUGGAGGAACACCGGUGGCGAAAGCGGCUCUCUGGCUUGUAACUGACGCUGAGGCUCGAAAGCGUGGGGAGCAAACAGGAUUAGAUACCCUGGUAGUCCACGCCGUAAACGAUGAGUGCUAGGUGUUAGACCCUUUCCGGGGUUUAGUGCCGCAGCUAACGCAUUAAGCACUCCGCCUGGGGAGUACGACCGCAAGGNUG